rnacentral:rRNA from 1 species
UACGAAGGGUGCAAGCGUUAAUCGGAAUUACUGGGCGUAAAGCGUGCGCAGGCGGUUUUGUAAGUCAGAUGUGAAAUCCCCGGGCUUAACCUGGGAACUGCGUUUGAAACUACAAGGCUAGAGUGUGGCAGAGGGGGGUGGAAUUCCGCGUGUAGCAGUGAAAUGCGUAGAUAUGCGGAGGAACACCGAUGGCGAAGGCAAUCCCCUGGGCCUGCACUGACGCUCAUGCACGAAAGCGUGGGGAGCAAACAGG